UAGAUAUGAGCAUAAAUGCAUUUCAUUGUUAAUGAAAAGAAAAGGGUCAUAGAGGAGGUUCCCCCCCUUUUUCG
rnacentral:tRNA from 1 species